GUUUAUGGCCGUACCACCCUGAAUGCAUCUGAUCCCAGAAGCUAAGCAGGAUCAGGCCUGCUUAGUACUUGGAUGGGAGACCACUUGGGAAUACUGCGUGCUGUAGGCU
rnacentral:rRNA from 1 species